rnacentral:lncRNA from 1 species
AAGUACUACACAAGCAGCACAAGAGAGAGUUCUAUCUAUUACAUUGCAUUCAACCAUCUUACAUGUUUCUAUUCAUUUACAUCAUUGAUUUACUUCUUGCAUCAAAUAGAUACAUUACUCAUCUCGUAAUACAUGUACAUCAUAAGCGACCUCACCCAAAAUACAUAAAGUCUCUCUCUCUACCAAUGUACAUCCACAUAAC